rnacentral:rRNA from 1 species
AGUGAACGCUGGCGGUAGGCCUAACACAUGCAAGUCGAACGGCAGCACAGUAAGAGCUUGCUCUUACGGGUGGCGAGUGGCGGACGGGUGAGGAAUACAUCGGAAUCUACUUUUUCGUGGGGGAUAACGUAGGGAAACUUACGCUAAUACCGCAUACGACCUACGGGUGAAAGCAGGGGAUCUUCGGACCUUGCGCGAUUGAAUGAGCCGAUGUCGGAUUAGCUAGUUGGCGGGGUAAAGGCCCACCAAGGCGACGAUCCGUAGCUGGUCUGAGAGGAUGAUCAGCCACACUGGAACUGAGACACGGUCCAGACUCCUACGGGAGGCAGCAGUGGGGAAUAUUGGACAAUGGGCGCAAGCCUGAUCCAGCCAUACCGCGUGGGUGAAGAAGGCCUUCGGGUUGUAAAGCCCUUUUGUUGGGAAAGAAAAGCAGCAGGUUAAUACCCCGCUGUUCCGACGGCACCCAAAGAAUAAGCACCGGCUAACUUCGUG